GAUCAUGGCUCAGGACGAACGCUGGCGGCAUGCCUAACACAUGCAAGUCGAACGGAGAAUUUAUUUCGGUAAAUUCUUAGUGGCGAACGGGUGAGUAACGCGUAGGCAACCUGCCCUUUAGAUGGGGACAACAUCCCGAAAGGGGUGCUAAUACCGAAUGUGACGGAACUUCCGCAUGGAAGCUCCGUGAAAGAUGGCCUCUACAUGUAAGCUAUCGCUAAAGGAUGGGCCUGCGUCUGAUUAG
rnacentral:rRNA from 1 species